rnacentral:tRNA from 1 species
UGGCUCAGAGGUUAAAGCGUCUGCCUGGAAUGCAGGAGAACCUGGUUCGAUCCCUGG